GUGUGUACAUAUGUGGGCUAUAUGUUGAAAUUUGAUCAAAAUGAGCAUUAUUAUUAAUGCAGGUUUUAUUUUCAACAUGUUUUUCCUCUAAUAAAAAAAUUUUUCAGUUGAAUUGGUCAGGAUAUAUAUAUGUGAAAUUAAAGGUGGAAAAGGUUUUGAAAUGAUUUACUGUAAUUUGAGAGCUCUUUUCUUCCUUCUGUUUAUUCUUGUGUUGGCAAACCACUGAAAUGUCAUGUUUUUAGCUUGCCUUUAAAAUCGAAAAACAGCUUAGGUUGAAUCAGUAACAAAAUCUGUAAGAUUUUUAUUUCUGUAAAACUGAUUUUUAUGAUCCCAAAACACAGCGUACACUUGCAGGACACUGUGAAAGAUAUCGUCCUUGGAAAGUGUCAUAACAACCAGGGGAUGGAGCUACAGGGGGAUCCAGACACAACAUCUUUCUACCAUGAACAUGACAAAAUACUGUUAUGUCAGCGCUCAGAGAAAAUAGCAGUAAAGUGGGAAAUAGAGAGGCAAGGACAGGAAUCCAGCCUUGCAGAUAAAGACUUGGACCAUUUGCUCGGAAAAAUGUACUUUCCGAUUUGAUCAAGCUGUAGGAGCCUUCAUCUUGAACAGACAACUGCUCGACAUGUGAUACCAAGCUGACUCACUGUAGCUAGCGGUACUAAUUUCACAGGUUUCAGCUGAGUCCUUAAUGAUGUUGGCUGAUUUAUAGUGCAGCAACACUGGAGGAUACAGCUGAGGGGCUUUUUCUUACCUUAGUGACAGGAAAUCAGGAGAUAUACCAUAACGUUUUUUCACAAUUUUUUAAGCUUCCUUGUUGUCUUGACUCAUGAAGAAAUGCAACAUUUAGGACCUGUUGAAAAUCUUAUGAUAACGUUAUAGCUUUAAAACCCAGAAGGCCUUAAAUAAGGAUUGCAACUGCAGGGAACCUAGUAGAGGAUUUGUUCCUGCUGUGAUAAUGACACCACUUUAAAACUCACCCAGACGGCCUCACAGAUUUAUGCUGAGCUUGCGUUUUCAUGUUGAUUAGAGGCUACAGGGUAAACACAGAAAAACACCUGUACCAACCUGUCUGCUGAACAGUGACAGUGAACUGUAUUAAUUUGGAGGAAGUUUCGUUGAGUCUUCGCUUGAAUGCCUUUCACACUCACCAUGCCAGGAACCUUUCAUUUGUUUUAGGAGCAGACAACAAAUCAAAGAAGGGGUGCAUAAAUCUGGAGGAUCAAUAGAGAAAAUACAAUAACACAUUCUCAGUGUUAUUGCUCUGCAUUAGCCACUUCCCUGAGCAUUUUUCAUUUCGAAAAGUAAAAUUUACUAUCGAUUCUCCUGCCAGAAAAUGAACCACAGCUGAACUUUGUGGUGUGCUUGCUUCAGCCUGGACAUCCUGGUCAGAUUUAGUCAGGGCUUUGUCUAUCUGUGAUAGGCAGUGGUUGCCGUAUAUCCUGAAUAAAGGGAGAUAGUGGGGGCCAAACCCAGCCUGGUGUGGUGCUGUUUGUAGAUAAGGCUACAGAUGCUACCAUAGCAUCUGCCACACUGUCUGCAGAGAAGGAAGUGAUUCCUAAUGUCCAUCCUGACAAGAUAUAUUCCGGAAGAAGACAUAAAAUAAAACAGACAAACAUCAGGCUAUUUUCUGAAGAUCAGCAUUAAACAGUGUUUGUUACAGCUUAUCAGGUUCACAGCUGUUUGCUGUAAGCCUGUUUGUCAGGAUCUGGGUUGUGUUUUUGUUUUUGUGCUUGCUACAUGUGUUCAGUAUUUUCAGACGGUGCUGGAGUUCUCAGGUGUGCUGGGUGACAGGUGAGACUUAUUCUACUGAUUACUUUGAGGAGUACUUAAGCAGGAGGCUGCCAGCACUUUGAUGCCAGAGUAUUUUGCCCUCAGUGGUAACAAGCUCAAGCCAAACACUAAGUCUAUGCUUUGUUCUUCGACCUCGUGUAACUUUGUUUAAGCUCCUUCGCAGGCUAAGUAAACCUAAACCCUGGAUUUAUGUCACUGAAUACUGACUACAUGUCUGGAAGUCUUUCUGGAUGAUCAAGACUAUCUACGUUCUGAGGACUUCGUUUCCUAUCUCCUGUCUUCGUUUGGAUUUGCAUCAAGCUGGCAGUUUCCUGCUACCUUCGUCUUCUGGACCAAGCUGCGAGCGUACCCUGUCUACCCUCCAAUGAAGGCAUCUGCAUACCAAACUCAUUCCUGUUUGCUCCAAGCUCACACAGAACAGCACGGACCUUCUACAAACUCUACUUCAACAAACCCGGUUCCUGAAUCCUUCUACCCCUGGCGACCUGACCACACCUAUUUAUUGGAGAAUCAUCCAUUACGUUCCUGAUUAUCUUUGUCUCAAUAAACAUCCUGUACUUAUUCUGUUCUCCGGAGUGUUCGCUGUAUGUGGGUCAUAUCUAUUGCAAACAAAUUGAUCCUGUCAAAGAUUUUGAAUUCUUUAUUUGCAAAGAGCUGUAUUGUAAUGCAUUGUUUGUAUACCGCAAUAUCCAAAGGUAUAAUAAACUAAUAAGACUAUG